rnacentral:sRNA from 1 species
UAAAUGGCCAAUUUUUUAAGCCAGAUGGCAAAUGUGUAUUGUGUGUAAAUAAAAAUUAAAUUCGACGAAAAUUCAACUGGAAAUUUACACAAACAUCUUAAGAGGGUGCAUCCAAACAGCUACGCGUCAUAUGAGGCCAUGAAAUCAAAAGUGGCAAAAAAGGAAGAGAAUAAAUUAUCAGAGCCUAAGCAAGCAAAUUUUUUCUGUUUCCAAAGUUCAAGCAAGCUAAACAACAAAAUUUGCGACUAUAUUAUCGCUGAAAUACGUAUUCGAAACCUUAGUUAUGCUUAAAAACCCAUUAAUUAAGUAAGUUAAUCAUACUAUAAAAGUUUUUGUAAGUUUAAAUAUGAACUGUUAU